AAAGAUAAGUUUGGGGUAUUAAUCCAUAAAAGAAAUGUUGAAAAAGGGCAAGUGCAAGAAAAAGAAAGAUGAGAAAAAGAAAAACUGUGUAGAAACAUCUGCUUCUACCGAAAAAAAAGAGAAAAAGAAAUGAAAAAAUAAUUAUAUAGAGAAAUGAAGAAUAAGCACUUGCCUUAGAAAUAGACUCAUGCAUUAAUAUGAAUUUGAGCGAAAAAGAGUCAAGAUUGGACGACACUCCAUAUAAAAAUUAUUGCACAAAGAAAAACAACAACAUGAAUGUCGAGUUGUUAAACCAUUU
rnacentral:lncRNA from 1 species